UACAGAGGUGGCGAACGUUGUCCGGAUUUAUUGGGUGUAAAGGGCAUGUAGGUGGUCUUGUAAGUCAAAGGUGAAAUGGCCCGGCUCAACCAGGUCAUUGCCUUUGAAACUGCCGGACUCGAGUACGGAAGAGGAGAGCGGAAUUCCCAGUGUAGCGGUGAAAUGCGUAGAUAUUGGGAGGAACACCGGUGGCGAAAGCGGCUCUCUGGUCCGAAACUGACACUGAGAUGCGAAAGCCAGGGGAGCAAACGGG
rnacentral:rRNA from 1 species